AGUGAACGCUGGCGGUGGGCCUAACACAUGCAAGACGAACGGCAGCACAGUAAGAGCUUGCUCUUACGGGUGGCGAGUGGCGGACGGGUGAGGAAUACAUCGGAAUCUACUUUUUCGUGGGGGAUAACGUAGGGAAACUUACGCUAAUACCGCAUACGACCUACGGGUGAAAGCAGGGGAUCUUCGGACCUUGCGCGAUUGAAUGAGCCGAUGUCGGAUUAGCUAGUUGGCGGGGUAAAGGCCCACCAAGGCGACGAUCCGUAGCUGGUCUGAGAGGAUGAUCAGCCACACUGGAACUGAGACACGGUCCAGACUCCUACGGGAGGCAGCAGUGGGGAAUAUUGGACAAUGGGCGCAAGCCUGAUCCAGCCAUACCGCGUGGGUGAAGAAGGCCUUCGGGUUGUAAAGCCCUUUUGUUGGGAAAGAAAAGCAGCAGGUUAAUACCCCGCUGUUCUGACGGUACCCAAAGAAUAAGCACCGGCUAACUUCGUG
rnacentral:rRNA from 1 species